rnacentral:rRNA from 1 species
CCUACGGGCGGCAGCAGUGAGGAAUAUUGGUCAAUGGCCGUAAGGCUGAACCAGCCAAGUCGCGUGAAGGAAGAAGGAUCUAUGGUUUGUAAACCUCUUUUGCCGGGGAGCAACGGGCGCCACGUGUGGCGCCACUGAGAGUACCCGGAGAAAAAGCAUCGGCUAACUCCGUGCCAGCAGCCGCGGUAAUACGGAGGAUGCGAGCGUUAUCCGGAUUUAUUGGGUUUAAAGGGUGCGUAGGCGGAUCGUUAAGUCAGUGGUCAAAUUGAGGGGCUCAACCCCUUCCCGCCAUUGAAACUGUUUUUCUUGAGUACCGGAGAGGUCAUCGGAAUUCCUUGUGUAGCGGUGAAAUGCGUAGAUAUAAGGAAGAACACCAGUGGCGAAGGCGGAUGACUGGACGGCAACUGACGGUGAGGCGCGAAAGCGUGGGGAGCAAACAGGAUUAGAUACCCCUGUAGUC